CGGCAGCGGGAAAGUACCUUGCUACUGUUGCCGGCGAGCGGCGGACGGGUGAGUAAUGUCUGGGAAACUGCCUGAUGGAGGGGGAUAACUACUGGAAACGGUAGCUAAUACCGCAUAACGUCGCAAGACCAAAGAGGGGGACCUUCGGGCCUCUUGCCAUCAGAUGUGCCCAGAUGGGAUUAGCUAGUAGGUGGGGUAACGGCUCACCUAGGCGACGAUCCCUAUCUGGUCUGAGAGGAUGACCAGCCACACUGGAACUGAGACACGGUCCAGACUCCUACGGGAGGCAGCAGUGGGGAAUAUUGCACAAUGGGCGCAAGCCUGAUGCAGCCAUGCCGCGUGUAUGAAGAAGGCCUUCGGGUUGUAAAGUACUUUCAGCGGGGAGGAAGGCGUUGAGGUUAAUAACCUCAGCGAUUGACGUUACCCGCAGAAGAAGCACCGGCUAACUCCGUGCCAGCAGCCGCGGUAAUACGGAGGGUGCAAGCGUUAAUCGGAAUUACUGGGCGUAAAGCGCACGCAGGCGGUCUGUCAAGUCGGAUGUGAAAUCCCCGGGCUCAACCUGGGAACUGCAUUCGAAACUGGCAGGCUAGAGUCUUGUAGAGGGGGGUAGAAUUCCGGGUGUAGCGGUGAAAUGCGUAGAGAUCUGGAGGAAUACCGGUGGCGAG
rnacentral:rRNA from 1 species